rnacentral:rRNA from 1 species
CCUACGGUGGGCAGCAGUGGGGAAUAUUGCACAAUGGGGGAAACCCUGAUGCAGCGACGCCGCGUGAGCGAUGAAGUAUUUCGGCACGUAAAGCUCUAUCAGCAGGGAAGAAAAUGACGGUACCUGACUAAGAAGCCCCGGCUAACUAGGUGCCAGCAGCCGCGGUAAUACGUAGGGGGCAAGCGUUAUCCGGAUUUACUGGGUGUAAAGGGAGCGUAGACGGCUCGGCAAGCCAGAUGUGAAAGCCUGGGACUCAACCCCAGGACUGCAUUUGGAACUGUCAUGCUAGAGUGUCGGAUAGGCAGGCGGAAGUCCGAGUGUAGCGGUGAAAUGCGUAGAUAUUAGGAGGAACACCAGUGGCGAAGGCGGCCUGCUGGACGAUGACUGACGUUGAGGCUCGAAAGCGUGGGGAGCAAACAGGAUUAGAUACCCUAGUAGUC